GAUGAAGAACGUAGCGAAAUGCGAUAAGUAAUGUGAAUUGCAGAAUUCAGUGAAUCAUCGAAUCUUUGAACGCACAUUGCGCCCUUUGGUAUUCCAAAGGGCAUGCCUGUUCGAGCGUCAUUUGUACCCUCAAGCUUUGCUUGGUGUUGGGCGUUUUUGUCUUUGGCCCGCCAAAGACUCGCCUUAAAAUGAUUGGCAGCCGGCCUACUGGUUUCGCAGCGCAGCACAUUUUUGCGCUUGCAAUCAGCAAAAGAGGACGGCAAUCCAUCAAGACUCCUUCUCACGUUUGACCUCGGAUCAGGUAGGGAUACCCGCUGAACUUAAGCAUAUCAAUAAGCGGAGGA
rnacentral:misc_RNA from 1 species